rnacentral:rRNA from 1 species
UUUCGAAUCAUUCACAAUGGGCGAAAGCCUGAUGGUGCGACGCCGCGUGAGGGAUGAAGGUCUUCGGAUUGUAAACCUCUGUCACCGGGGAGGAAACGCUUUAGGCUAAUAGUCUAAAGCCUGACUUAACCCGGAGAGGAAGCAGUGGCUAACUCUGUGCCAGCAGCCGCGGUAAUACAGAGACUGCAAGCGUUAUUCGGAUUCACUGGGCGUAAAGGGUGCGCAGGCGGCCGUGUGUGUUGGGCGUGAAAGCCCGGAGCUUAACUCCGGAAUUGCGCUCAAAACUACAUGGCUAGAGCAUUGGAGAGGGUAGCAGAAUUCACGGUGUAGCAGUGAAAUGCGUAGAUAUCGUGAGGAAUACCAGAGGCGAAGGCGGCUACCUGGACAAUUGCUGACGCUCAGGCACGAAAGCGUGGGGAGCAAAAG